GUUGUGGUGCGCGCCGAGUGACGUCAUCCAGGGCGACGGAAUCUGAAGCCACGCUACUGCAAUGUGCUGGGCUCUGUGCGAGAGAAGAGCCUAGUAUGCAGUUGUUUGUAAGUGAGACAGGAGGAAAAACGGCUUUAAAAAGAAUCCAGUCGCUUGGAGAGAGUGCACGUGCCCUGGCUUUGAGGACGACGCCUUGUGGAUUACCUGCCCACAGAGCAUAACAAAGGCAAUGAAAACAAAGGAUCAAGACAAAAAGUCCUGAAGAAGAACUGAAGAGACAACAGAAGAAGACGACACAUACUGUUGUUUAAACGUAGAAAGGAAUGGGGAGGAGUGCUAUACGACCUGACCAUGGAGUGGUGAGUGUAUGGGAUUUUAGGCAUCUUAUGAAGGUCUACAUAGUAAAGAAUAUAAAGGGGAAAACAGGGUCACCAGAGGACCCUACAUGACAAAACAGGCCAUGAUUUGAUACUUUGAUGAUCCCACUUAACUGCACAGGAGCCAGUUUUCUGGGUGAGUCCAUGGGUGCCGACUGACUUUUGUAUUCUCAGUGCUGCAGUAUAAAUGGUACCGUGAUGUUGCCUGUUGGACACCUCCUUAAUAAUAAAACAAAUAUGCUGUCGACCUGCUUCCCUCCUGCCUGCUCUUUUAUUUCUCUCGCUAUUCUCACCCUGUCAAUGUCUUAGUAAUUAACCCCUUUCCUCCUGAGCUCAAACACUUUGCUUCUUUGCUAU